CAUAUGCUAUUUCUGCAAUAGAUUUACCAUUUGAUGCAAUACUUUCUUUAGGUUGUGCCUCCAAUAUAGUAUUUAUAAUAAAUUGAGUCUCUUUUAGCUAUAGUUGAUUUUAAAAUUAGCGUUAGUAUACAAUAUUUUAUAUAUAUAAAUUCAUAUUUAAUAUUUACAGAUAUAUACAUAAACACACACACACAACUAAAAGAACUGCAUUCUUACUUGAAGACGAAGAUCCCAAAAAUCUGUUACUCUUCCUCCAUAUGUAAUCUCAGCUAUAGUAUAUAUAUAUAUUUAGUGUAUUGGUUGUUCAAUUUGGAUCAUGACUUUGUAGAACUCAUACCUGUGAUAUAUAUUAAUGCAUUCCAUGCCUAAGGGACCGAAUUUUUUUCUUUCUUGAAUAAUUCCAUGGAAGAAACAUAUACCAAAUAUCAUUUUACGCCAACUUUCAUCCAGAACUGCAUGUAAAAAGUGAAGAAAAUAUACAAUAAACGAUAGGACCUUGACCUUGUCCCAAAGAUAUAGAAUCGAAUCUAUGGAAGUAUUCUGUUUCUAUAGCGAAUCUUUGGAAACCACUGAAGGGAUCGGAUCCAGUAUGAAUGAAGACUAGCUGUUGGUGAUUCAAUGAAUUUUGGACCAAGAUGUUUCGAUACAUAAGCCGUAAAUCCAAAGAUAAGACAUUCUUCUUUUAAGCAUUUUAAUAACAUCAAUUUCUCAAUAUCAUUUAAUAUAUUAUUC